UGCAUUCCUUGGGGGCUCUGGAGGCCUCACCUUCCCCUCAGUCAGGCGGCUCCCCUGGCCCGGGCAGCACCUGGGCCUCCCCAGGGCUUCUGCCCACUGCUGGAAGCAGCCCUGCCGCAGGCUUCUGGGAGGAGGGGGAACACAGAGCCCACGGGGAGCCCAGGGUGCAGGGGCGGGACAGGGGCAGGGGCCCAGCAGCCCGGUCCCCCCAGCACUGUCCCAUCCUCUCCCUUCAGGGCACCCACCUUCAGCUGAGCCGGACCUUUCCAGCACUUUGAUACUCUGUCACGGGCCAAAGUCAGGAAUCACUGUGGCCAGUGUCCAGAGCCCCAUCCUUUGCCUCAUGCAGUGCCCAGGUCCUGGGGGUCUGCCCCACGCCCCUCCUCCACACUCCAUCAGGGCUCACGCUGCCUGACCGUCUCGUACCCCUCCACCGCCCCCCCAACCCAGGGGAGCCCCCUAGAUCCAGGCCCCAGACUGAGUGAGGAUGCGGGCCUGAGAGCUGUAGGCUGACCCCUGGAGGCAGGCCUGCACUCUCUCCUCCCUCCAGCCCGCUCCCCUCCCCAGCCUUGGGACCCUCCUGUGCCCCCAGACACAGGCGCCUGCCCUGCAACCAGCCCCACCCCCUCACCCCGUCCACUCUCCCCACGACUGCAAACCCCUAACCCCAUCCUGUCUCCCCACGACGCCCCACACACUUCACCCCCCACGACUCCCCACACCCCUCACCCCAUCCAGUGCUCCCCACGUGUCUGCACUCCACUCUGGUCCUCCAGCCCCACCAUCUGAAACGCCCUUCUGGGGGCAUCGCCAAGCUGACAGUUUCCAGCCCUUCUACCACCCUGACGGUCCAGGAUUUUCGUUUUCCAAGGGACCAAGGAGUCCACGGAAUGAUUCUCACCUUGGACUGACCAGUGGAGCCGGGCUGAGUGUAGACGUCUAGUCCUGAUCUUGGCCAGAAUGGGGAUCCAGGGAGACAGACAGAAUAUGGCCUGGGACUCAGCUCCAACCGCCCCCGAGCACUGUGGGACAGAGAAGAGGGGGCACCCAGCUGCCCCAUCUCCUCGAAGCUCUCUGGGGGUUUUCCUUUUCAUCUGGUUCAACGACUUUAUCGAGACAUAACUGAUGCGCAGUGAAUCACACAUAUUCAGAGGGUACCGUUCAGCGUGU
rnacentral:lncRNA from 1 species